UUCCUUCUUGAAAUUCUUUUUCUUUUAAUUUGAUAUUUCUCAGAGUAUUUUCAUUUCAGGAGCACAACUGCAACACUUUCCAUGACCUGAAAGUGUCACUCUGUGGGCUGGAUCGGUGAAAAAAAAAAAAAAAAAAGAUUCCUAAUGAACCAAACAUGCACCCAUUCUUUCCCUUCCUCAGAAGUUGGCCUUAAUCUCUGGAGGGGAGCCUUGCCAAGUCCAUCAAGAUUUGGCAAGUCCAGGAGGUGCUAAUGGGUAGAACCCUCAACCAGGUUUCUUAUUACCUUGUUUCAUUUUUUCUUUUUUAAAACUUUCUUUCCUCAAUUCUCACCCUUAAAAUCUUGCUUUCAGUUCUAUAAGUUCCCACAACCUGAAGCUGAGUCUUCAAUGAUCAUAGCACCAAGAAUCUAGUGAUCCUUUUACCAUGAAUUUAUACUGAAUUGAAAUAAUGUCACUAAACUUCUGAACAUGUGGUUACUUACGUUUUUUUUUGUUUUAUUUGGUUUUUGGGUUUUUGUUUGUUUUUUUGCUAUUAAGAAAGGGGGAAAAUAAUGAAUCAGAAACUACCGGAGAGGUCUGACCUUUUUGUAAGCAUUAUUUCCUCUAUGUGGUCAAAGGAGAGAACAUUUGUUUUGGCUGGAACAUAAUGAAAUCUCAUUAAACAAAGUGGAGAAUAUUCUUACCCUCAUAGGCCAGACUAGUUAGGACAUCCUGGCACAAUGCUAAGAAUUUUAGCUUCCUCACUCAUUGCAAUGGGAAACCACUGACAUUUUAAUCAGGAGGAGAGGGAGAUGGAACACAAGUUGAAUAUAGCCAAAAUUUGCAUUUGGAAAGGACAUCUGGAUGUGGUAUGGAAAACCACAUUGCAUCUAAAUGGGUACCUUUGAUAGGCUGUCGCUACAAUAGUCCUAGAGAAAGAGAAAUGAGAGUUGGUUUGGUUGGGAGGAUGGUGAGUGAAAAGGAAAGAACAGAAAAGUGUCAAUGAAUGUUUGUAUUCUCUGGAAUGGUUAUGGGGGAGACUGAGAGAAGGCAUUUUAUAAAAUUCCAUUUGUUUAUUGACUUGCACGAUUGGUGUUCUAUUAUACUCUUGAAUGGGCAGAAGAGAGGUGCUGAGGAAGAGGACCAGGAUAGAAGGAAAAUUGUAUGUUUUCAUUUGUCCUAUUGCCUUUGAAAUAUCCAAAUGAAAAUAUCAAGAGCACAGUAUGGUACAAGGCCUGGGGCCCAGAGAAGAGAUCUAGACAACAGAACACAAGUGUGCAGCUUUUGUGUGUGGUUGGUGCAGAAUCACAGGGAAUGGUUAAGUCCAAGGAUACAAGGGAAGAAGAAGAGGUGAACAUAACAUGCCCAGGAAACUGCAAUAUUGAAAUAAUGAGGAAGAGCUGCUAAAGGAUGAAAAACUAAACCAUCCUUUAAGACUAAUAUUAUGAGAAUGGGGAGGAAAAUAAAAAUAAAACAUACUACAUGUCUCUCUAUCCUGAGGAAAAAUUGGAUAUGCAUUUCUAUAAUUUUUUAAAUUGGCUUUAAUACUUGUAUAGCCUUUGAGGAAAAAAAAAAAUGACAUCAUUCUAACCUGAGACAGAUAAACAGAUUCUGGCGUGUAGGGCAGAAAUUCAAAUGAAUGAGGCUGUUCAGUAAUUACUGGUUAUUGUGUCACAAAUUAGCGCUAUAGAUUUUUCCUUCAAAGAAUUUGACAUAGUUAGUUUGUAACUAUGCAUUUGCCUUUCUUCUUUCUUUAUUUGUCCCCCUUCCCUCCCCGCAGCUUUAUUUCUUUGACAGGGAAAAGGCUUCAAAUCACUGUGUUCCAGGUGUUAGCUAGUAUUUUGCCUAACUGAGUUCAGAAGGCAUGCAUCAUGUGGAGAAACAAAUGGAUCACAAAUAUGAAAUAAAAAAAAAAGAAAAAGAAAAUCUCUGGAUUACGAAAGAAAAGACUUGGGUCUCAAUCCUACUCUGGGUCAUGUGGUAUUCAAACAUCUAGGAGCCAUUCUUUCGUAAUAUAUAAAAGCAUCCACCUAGACUAGGAGAUUUCCCAGAUAAUUUCUGGAUGGGAAGUCAAAUUAAUCUAUUUACCUAACUCUUCUAAAAAUGUUGACCAAAUUCCUCUGAAAACAAUUAUCCUCUUCUAAAACCACAUCGCCAUCCAGGUUGACUUGAAAUUGUGCCAGUGAUGUUUGAAGAAGGCCAAGCCCCGCUGUGAUCUACCUCAUCCUCUACAAGCCCACCUGUGGGUUGUUCUCUGGCAUCCAGCUGAGCUCAGAUGAGCCUCAGAGAAUCUGGCCUCAGCUGCAUUCUGUUUCUCUUGCUUUCUGCCCUGGGUUUCUCUGCAGCUGCAGAAUAAAAGGCUGGGUAUGUUCUGAAAGGCAGAGAAUUUACCUUCUCAGUGGACCUUAGGAGUAAUGGUCAUAAUGAAAUUCUCCCCUCCGUACUGAUCUCAGGUCAGAUCCGUAUACUUCCCGUUUUUAAACAACUGCCAAGCAUUUGUUUUUAUAUCUACUAGACAUCUGUGCUAUGGGUGAGCCCCAUUUCUAGCUAUUGACUGUCCUGAAAUAAAGGCACCCUUGGAAACGCGAUGCUACAUCUCAAUGGGAUUUUCCAGUACAAAGAUUCUUUUCAAAUAACAUAAUUGUGGAGACACACCACUCCUACAGAGGAAGUUAUAUUUUGCCAAGAGUCAAUGGAACUUCAACCCGAAAAGAGCCAGUUUUGUUUGGGAAUCUUGGAAUCCUGGAAGUUGGUGGAAGCAAGUGAGCAGGGAGAGGAUAUAGGAACAUGGACUCAGCAUGAAUCUUCCCAUUUCUAAUGUGCUAUCAAUUCAAAUGACUUGAAGUUGUUUUCUUUUUUUUUCUCAGUUUACAGUAGAAAUUCCUUCUUCAAUUCUUAGAAAUCUUGUAGAAAUCACAAGGAUAAUUUUAAAUAGGGUAUAAUAUUGUCAUGUGAUCUGUUAAUUGUUAACUAACGUGUCACUGGGUGAUGCAGAGUCAGAGCAGUAGUGACAUAUUUACCUUGGAGGCAGUUAGAAAACAUGACUCAAAAAGGUGUUUAGAUUGGCUGUUUUUCUGUAUUUAAAAAAA